rnacentral:rRNA from 1 species
GAUCUUGGUCAGGACGAACGCUGGCGGCGUGCUUAACACAUGCAAGUCGAGCGAUGAAGCUUCUCGGAAGUGGAUAGCGGCGGACGGGUGAGUAACACGUGGGCAACCUGCCUCAUAGAGGGGAAUAGCCUUCCGAAAGGAAGAUUAAUACCGCAUAAGAUUGUAAUAUCGCAUGAUAUAGCAAUUAAAGGAGUAAUCCGCUAUGAGAUGGACCCGCGUCGCAUUAGCUAGUUGGUGAGGUAACGGCUCACCAAGGCGACGAUGCGUAGCCGACCUGAGAGGGUGAUCGGCCACAUUGGGACUGAGACACGGCCCAGACUCCUACGGGAGGCAGCAGUGGGGAAUAUUGCACAAUGGGGGAAACCCUGAUGCAGCCAACGCCGCGUGAGUGAUGACGGUCUUCGGAUUGUAAAGCUCUGUCUUCAGGGACGAUAAUGACGGUACCUGAGGAGGAAGCCACGGCUAACUACGUGCCAGCCGCAGC